UACGGAGGGGGCUAGCGUUGUUCGGAAUUACUGGGCGUAAAGCGCACGUAGGCGGCUUGGUAAGUUAGAGGUGAAAGCCUGGAGCUCAACUCCAGAAUUGCCUUUAAGACUGCCGAGCUAGCAGGUGAGAGAGGUGAGUGGAAUUCCGAGUGUAGAGGUGAAAUUCGUAGAUAUUCGGAAGGACACCAGUGGCGAAGGCGGCUCACUGGCUCAUACUGGACGCUGAGGUGCGAAAGCGUGGGGAGCAAACAGG
rnacentral:rRNA from 1 species